AUGAUAGUUCUAGAGAGGGACUUUGAAGGCGGAGAAGGCAAUGACCUGACAGCUCAAGAGUUAAAUAAUACUAUUCCGUCCCAUAAUGUAAGACAUUUUUUGACACUCAUUAUGGGACGGAGGGAGUACGCACUAAUAUUGUUGCAGAAAGAGAAGAUAAAUAGCCCUUGCUUUCGGAGACGUGUUUGUUGGCCAUAA
rnacentral:rRNA from 1 species